rnacentral:lncRNA from 1 species
AACAAAAAACCAUGCUAUAACUUUAUUUAAUGAAAAAAAAAAACUUAAAUUUUAAUGAAAAUGACACAAUUUUGAUAUAAAUUAAAAAAAAAAUAACAUAACCCAUCCAUCACAAACAUUGUUUAUGAAAUUGAACAAUACUAUAUUGUUUAUGAAACUUAAUGGUACUACACUAUUUAUGAAACUGAACGGUACUAUAUUAUUUAUGAAAUUGAACAUGAUUAUACUAUUUAUUGGUCCAAAUUCAUAAAUAGUGCCUAGUUCUUGGUUCAUUUUCAUAAAUAGUGCCUAUUUAUUGGGUCCAGUUUCAUAAAUAGUGUAUAGUAAUUUGUAUAGUUUCAUAACCAGUGUCUCACUCUUGGUCCAGUUUCAUAACUAGUGCCUAGUUCUUGGUCCACUUUCAUAUAUA